rnacentral:lncRNA from 10 species
AUGCCUAUAAUUAACUUUGUCCAACUUAUUACUCCCACUCUAAUUGCUAUAGCAUUCUUUACGCUCAUUGAACAAAAUAUCUUAGGCUAUAUACAACAAUGCAAAAGACUUAACACUGUAGGUCCUACGGACUGAUUCAACCAUUCACUGAUGGAAUACACUACACACUGUAUAUUCACCAGAACUCUAUAUCACAAAUUUUAUUACAAAGACCUUCUUUUACCCACCUUGUUUUUAUAAAUUGGAAGAGCAUACCUCCAAUUUAACUGUGAACACCUCACACAUUUUCUAUGAAAAAAAAUUUCUAUCACUUACACUAGCAUUCUGCAUAUAUCACAAUGUCUGUCCUAAUUUUGAGCAUUACACCC